AUUGAACGCUGGCGGCAGGCCUAACACAUGCAAGUCGAGCGAGUGGCGGACGGGUGAGUAAUGUCUGGGAAUCUGCCUGAUGGAGGGGGAUAACUACUGGAAACGGUGGCUAAUACCGCAUACUAUCGGAUGAACCCAUAUGGGAUUAGCUAGUUGGUGGGGUAAAGGCUCACCAAGGCGACGAUCCCUAGCUGGUCUGAGAGGAUGACCAGCAACACUGGAACUGAGACACGGGCCAGACUCCUACGGGAGGCAGCAGUGGGGAAUAUUGCACAAUGGGCGAAAGCCUGAUGCAGCCAGGCCGCGUGUAUGAAGAAGGCCUUCGGGUUGUAAAGUACUUUCAGCGGGGAGGCGUUACCCGCAGAAGAAGCACCGGCUAACUCCGGGCCAGCAGCCGCGGUAAUAC
rnacentral:rRNA from 1 species